UCCCUGGCGGUCCAGUGGUUAGGACACAGCACUUACAAUGCCGUGACCCAGGUUCGAUCCCUGGUCAGGGAA